rnacentral:rRNA from 1 species
AGAUUCAAACUCGUACCUUUUGCAUCAUGAUUUAGCUAGAAAACCUCAAGCAAAGAGCACUUUAGUUUGACCGCCCGAAACUACGUGAGCUACUCCAAGACAGCCUAACAACUAGGGCAAACCCGUCUCUGUGGCAAAAGAGUGGGAAGAUCUUUGAGUAGAGGUGACAGACCUAUCGAACCUAGUUAUAGCUGGUUGCCUGAGAAAUGAAUAGAAGUUCAGCCUCUCGGAUUCUCCCCUCACCCCACCUCCCUCCCCCCGACAAUUAAAAGAAACCGAAAGAGUUAGUCAAAGGGGGUACAGCCCCUUUGACACAAGAUACAACUUUUCCAGGAGGGUAAAGAUCACAAUUCAACACCAAGGUAAAAUGUUUAGGUGGGCCUAAAAGCAGCCACCCCAUAGAAUGCGUUAAAGCUCAAACAUAACCACCACCCCCAAUCCUGAUAAUCUUAUCUUAACCCCCUAACCCUACCAGGCCGUUCCAUGCAAUCAUGGAAGCGACCAUGCUAAUAUGAGUAAUAAGAGAAUAGUCAUCUCUCUCCUUGCACAAG